UGAUGCCAGGGUCAAAAGGUCUAAGCCCACAUGAGCUUGCUCAUAGGUGGGUGAAAGACCUUAGAACCCGCCCCGAUAUGAGCAUAAAAGUGGGAUGAUAAUCCCACGAUAUGCGAAUAUUGGGUAGGAUUGUGGGAGUGCGUAGCACGGAGCAAUCCGUAGGCAUCA
rnacentral:sRNA from 21 species